UUUCUUUAUUACACGUUUCUUAAUUGUUUUCUUCUUUGUCACUCCAUCUUCAACAACUGUUGUUUCUUGAACUUGUUCGGGUAGUUCUUGGACAGUAAAUACCGGUUCUUCCGGCAUUUGUUCUUCUUGAACCGUGACAGUGGUUAAAGGUUCUUUACCUUCUUCUUCCAGUGUAACUAUUUCUGUUGUUUCCUUCUUAUCACCUUUCUGUUUCUUUAUUACACGUUUCUUGAUUGUUUUCUUCUUUAUUACUCCAUUUUCAACAACAGUUGUUUCUUGGACUUGUUCGGGCAAUUCUUGGACAGUAAAUACCGGUUCUUCUGGCAUUUGUUCUUCUUGAACCGUUACAGUGGUUAAAGGUUCUUUACCUUCUUCUUCCAGUGUAACUAUUUCUGUUGUUUCUUUUUUAUCAUCUUUUUGUUUCUUUAUUACACGUUUCUUAAUUGUUUUCUUCUUUGUCACUCCAUCUUCAACAACUGUUGUUUCUUGAACUUGUUCGGGUAGUUCUUGGACAGUAAAUACCGGUUCUUCCGGCAUUUGUUCUUCUUGAACCGUGACAGUGGUUAAAGGUUCUUUACCUUCUUCUUCCAGUGUAACUAUUUCUGUUGUUUCUUUUUUAUCACCUUUUUGUCUCUUUAUUACACGUUUCUUAAUUGUUUUCUUCUUUGUCACUCCAUCUUCAACAACAGUUGUUUCUUGAACUUGUUCGGGCAAUUCUUGGACAGUAAAUACCGGUUCUUCUGGCAUUUGUUCUUCUUGAACCGUAACAGUGGUUAAAGGUUCUUUACCUUCUUCUUCCAGUGUAACUAUUUCUGUUGUUUCUUUCUUAUCACCUUUUUGUUUCUUUAUUACACGUUUCUUAAUUGUUUUCUUCUUUGUCACUCCAUCUUCAACAACAGUUGUUUCUUGAACUUGUUCGGGUAGUUCUUGGACAGUAAAUAUCGGUUCUUCCGGCAUUUGUUCUUCUUGAAUCGUGACAGUGGUUAAAGGUUCUUUACCUUCUUCUUCCAGAGUAACUAUUUCUGUUGUUUCUUUCUUAUCACCUUUUUGUUUCUUUAUUACACGUUUCUUAAUUGUUUUCGUCUUUGUCACUCCAUCUUCAACAACAGUUGUUUCUUGAACUUGUUCGGGCAGUUCUUGGACAGUAAAUACCGGUUCUUCCGGCAUUUGUUCUUCUUGAAUCGUGACAGUGGUUAAGGGUUCUUUACCUUCUUCUUCCAGAGUAACUAUUUCUGUUGUUUCUUUCUUAUCACCUUUUUGUUUCUUUAUUACACGUUUCUUAAUUGUUUUCUUCUUUGUUACUCCAUCUUCAACAACUGUUGUUUCUUGAACUUGUUCGGGCAGUUCUUGGACAGUAAAUACCGGUUCUUCCGGCAUUUCUUCCUCUUGAACCGUGACAGUGGUUAAAGGUUCUUUACCUUCUUCUUCCAGUGUAACUAUUUCUGUUGUUUCUUUCUUAUCACCUUUUUGUUUCUUUAUUACACGUUUCCUAAUUGUUUUCUUCUUUGUCACUCCAUCUUCAACAACAGUUGUUUCUUGAACUUGUUCGGGUAGUUCUUGGACAGUAAAUACCGGUUCUUCCGGCAUUUGUUCUUCUUGAACCGUGACAGUGGUUAAAGGUUCUUUACCUUCUUCUUCCAGAGUAACUAUUUCUGUUGUUUCUUUCUUAUCACCUUUUUGUUUCUUUAUUACACGUUUCUUAAUUGUUUUCUUCUUUGUCACUCCAUCUUCAAUAACAGUUGUUUCUUGAACUUGUUCGGGUAGUUCUUGGACAGUAAAUACCGGUUCUUCCCGCAUUUCUUCCUCUUGAACCGUGACAGUGGUUAAAGGUUCUUUACCUUCUUCUUCCAGUGUAACUAUUUCUGUUGUUUCUUUCUUAUCACCUUUUUGUUUCUUUAUUACACGUUUCUUAAUUGUUUUCUUCUUUGUUACUCCAUCUUCAACAACUGUUGUUUCUUGAACUUGUUCGGGUAGUUCUUGGACAGUAAAUACCGGUUCUUCCGGCAUUUGUUCUUCUUGAACCGUGACAGUGGUUAAAGGUUCUUUACCUUCUUCUUCCAGUGUAACUAUUUCUGUUGUUUCUUUUUUAUCACCUUUUUGUUUCUUUAUUACACGUUUCUUAAUUGUUUUCUUCUUUGUCACUCCAUCUUCAACAACUGUUGUUUCUUGAACUUGUUCGGGCA